rnacentral:rRNA from 1 species
UACGUAGGGACCAAGCGUUGUUCGGAUUUACUGGGCGUAAAGGGCGCGUAGGCGGCGUGUUAAGUCACUUGUGAAAUCUCUGAGCUUAACUCAGAACGGCCAAGUGAUACUGCAGUGCUAGAGUGCGGAAGGGGCAAUCGGAAUUCUUGGUGUAGCGGUGAAAUGCGUAGAUAUCAAGAGGAACACCUGAGGUGAAGACGGGUUGCUGGGCCGACACUGACGCUGGAGCGCGAAAGCCAGGGGAGCAAACGGG